AAAAAGAUAAGCUAAAUCAAAGCUAAUGGGCUCAUACCCCAUAAAUGAAAGUCGUAAACCUUUCUCUUUUUA
rnacentral:tRNA from 1 species